UUACUGAGUGAGGGCCCUCUGGGUCCAACCUCCCACCCGUGUUUAUUGUACCUUGUUGCUUCGGUGCGCCCGCCUCACGGCCGCCGGGGGGCUUCUGCCCCCGGGUCCGCGCGCACCGGAGACACUAUUGAACUCUGUCUGAAGAUUGCAGUCUGAGCAUAAACUAAAUAAGUUAAAACUUUCAACAACGGAUCUCUUGGUUCCGGCAUCGAUGAAGAACGCAGCGAAAUGCGAUAACUAAUGUGAAUUGCAGAAUUCAGUGAAUCAUCGAGUCUUUGAACGCACAUUGCGCCCCCUGGUAUUCCGGGGGGCAUGCCUGUCCGAGCGUCAUUGCUGCCCUCAAGCACGGCUUGUGUGUUGGGCUCCGUCCCCCCGGGGACGGGUCCGAAAGGCAGCGGCGGCACCGAGUCCGGUCCUCGAGCGUAUGGGGCUUUGUCACCCGCUCUGUAGGCCCGGCCGGCGCCAGCCGACAACCAAUCAUCCUUUUUUCAGGUUGACCUCGGAUCAGGUAGGGAUACCCGCUGAACUUAAGCAUAUCAAUAAGCGGAGGAAAAGAAACCAACAGGGAUUACCUCAGUAACGGCGAGUGAAGCGGUAAGAGCUCAAAUUUGAAAGCUGGCUCCUUCGGGGUCCGCAUUGUAAUUUGCAGAGGAUGUUUCGGGAGCAGCCCCCAUCUAAGUGUCCUG
rnacentral:rRNA from 1 species